rnacentral:rRNA from 1 species
UACGUAGGGUGCGAGCGUUAAUCGGAAUUACUGGGCGUAAAGCGUGCGCAGGCGGUUUUGUAAGCCAGAUGUGAAAGCCCCGGGCUUAACCUGGGAAUGGCAUUUGGGACUGCAUGGCUGGAGUGUGGCAGAGGAGACUGGAAUUCCUGGUGUAGCAGUGAAAUGCGUAGAUAUCGGGAGGAACACCGAUGGCGAAGGCAGCCUCCUGGGCCAGCACUGACGCUCAUGCACGAAAGCGUGGGGAGCAAACAGG